UACGGAGGGUGCGAGCGUUGUCCGGAAUCAUUGGGCGUAAAGGGCGCGUAGGUGGCGGGACAAGCGUGCGGUGAAAGCUCGGGGCUCAACCCCGCGUCGGCCGUGCGAACUGUUUUGCUUGAGCACUGUAGAGGCAGGCGGAAUUCCGGGUGUAGCGGUGGAAUGCGUAGAGAUCCGGAAGAACACCGGUGGCGAAGGCGGCCUGCUGGGCAGUAGCUGACACUGAGGGACGAAAGCUAGGGGAGCGAAUGGG
rnacentral:rRNA from 1 species